rnacentral:rRNA from 1 species
CCCUUAGAUGGUCUGGGCGGCACGCGCGCUACAAUGAUGCAUUCAAAAAGUCUUCUGACCUUAGAAGGUUGGGUGUUCUCCAAAGUGCAUCGUGAUGGGAAUAGUUUAUUGCAAUUUUUAAUCUUGAACGAGGAAUUCCUAGUAAGUACAGGUCAUCAACUUGUGUUGAUUACGUCCCUGCCCUUUGUACACACCGCCCGUCGCUCCUACUGAUUGAGUGUCUCGGUGAAUUCUUUGAUCUUCUGUCGAUUCAGUUCACUGAUCCGACGGUGGAAAGUUGAAUGAACUUCGUCACUUAGAGGAAGGAGAAGUCGUAACA